UACGUAGGGUGCGAGCGUUGUCCGGAAUUACUGGGCGUAAAGAGCUCGUAGGUGGUUUGUCGCGUUGUCCGUGAAAACUCACAGCUCAACUGUGGGCGUGCGGGCGAUACGGGCAGACUGGAGUACUGCAGGGGAGACUGGAAUUCCUGGUGUAGCGGUGGAAUGCGCAGAUAUCAGGAGGAACACCGGUGGCGAAGGCGGCUCACUGGACCGGAACUGACGCUGAGGCGCGAAAGCGUGGGGAGCAAACAGG
rnacentral:rRNA from 1 species